CAGGAGGAAUGUAUAUCGACUCUGUCGAAUAAAGUUCUAGUUAAGUUAUGAUAAUGACAUUUCUUAACUAUGUGUCUUGACCAAAUCACGUGCCAGCAGUCGCGGUAAUACGUGGAAGACUAGUGUUAUUCAUCUUUAACAGGUUUAAAGGGUACCUAGACGGUAAAUCAAGCCCCAAAAGGGGACUAAUUUACUAGAGUUUAAUAAGAGAGGGGGAGUACUGAUGAGUGGAGCGAUUAAAUUUUAUGAUACCAUUAGGAACAGACAAAGGCGAAAGCGACCUUUUACAUAAAACUGACGUUGAGGGACGAAGGCUUUAGUAGUGAACAGGAUUAGAGACCCAAGUAAUUAAAGCAGACAAUGAUGAAUGUCAUAGAUUAGUACUUUUUUUUUGCUUGUAUUGAUAAAGCUUGUAUUGAUAAAAACCAGAAAAAUCAAAAAAGUGUACUAUUAAUCUAUAAAUGAAAGUGUAAGCAUUCCACCUCAAGAGUAAUGUGGCAACGCAGAAACUGAAAUCAUUAGACCGUUUCUGAAACCAGUAGUGAAGUAUGUUGUUUAAUUAGAUAAUCCGCAAAAGACCUCACCACAAUUUGUAUAUUAUUAUUUUAUAAUAAUACAAGCGUUGCACGGCUGUCUUCAGUUAAUGUCGUGAGAUUAGGUUAGUUCCAUUAAAUUAACGUAAACCCUUGCUUUAUUUAUAUUAUAAAGUAGAUCACCGCUAUAUUGGAUGUGAUAAUAGGGACUAAGACAAGUCAUCAUGGCCUGAAUAUUGUGGGCGAUAGACGUGCCACAUAAUCGGAGACAAAGGGAUGCAAAAUUG
rnacentral:rRNA from 1 species